rnacentral:rRNA from 1 species
CGGCAACAGCUCAAAUUUGAAAUCUGGCUCUCGGGCCCGAGUUGUAAUUUGUAGAGGAUACUUUUGAUGCGGUGCCUUCCGAGUUCCCUGGAACGGGACGCCAUAGAGGGUGAGAGCCCCGUCUGGUUGGAUGCCAAAUCUCUGUAAAGUUCCUUCAACGAGUCGAGUAGUUUGGGAAUGCUGCUCUAAAUGGGAGGUAUAUGUCUUCUAAAGCUAAAUACCGGCCAGAGACCGAUAGCGCACAAGUAGAGUGAUCGAAAGAUGAAAAGCACUUUGAAAAGAGAGUUAAAAAGUACGUGAAAUUGUUGAAAGGGAAGCGUUUAUGACCAGACUUGGGCUUGGUUAAUCAUCUGGGGUUCUCCCCAGUGCACUUUUCCAGCUCAGGCCAGCAUCAGUUUUCCCCGGGGGAUAAAGGCGGAGGGAAUGUGGCUCUCUUCGGGGAGUGUUAUAGCCCACCGUGUAAUACCCUGGGGGGGACUGAGGUUCGCGCAUCUGCAAGGAUGCUGGCGUAAUGGUCAUCAACGACCCGUCUUGAAACACGGACCAAGGAGUCGUCUUCGUAUGCGAGUGUUCGGGUGUCAAACCCCUACGCGUAAUUAAAGUGAACGCAGGUGAGAGCUUCGGCGCAUCAUCGACCGAUCCUGAUGUUCUCGGAUGGAUUUGAGUAAGAGCAUACGGGGCCGGACCCGAAAGAAGGUGAACUAUGCCUGUAUAGGGUGAAGCCAGAGGAAACUCUGGUGGAGGCUCGCAGCGGUUCUGACGUGCAAAUCGAUCGUCAAAUA